GACGUAGGGGGCCAGCGUUGUUCGGAAUUACUGGGUGUAAAGGGUUCGUAGGCGGUGUGGCAAGUCGGGAGUGAAAUCUCUGGGCUCAACUCAGAGACUGCUUCCGAAACUGCUGUGCUGGAGUGUGGGAGAGGCGCGUGGAAUUGCAGGUGUAGCGGUGAAAUGCGUAGAUAUCUGCAGGAACACCCGUGGCGAAAGCGGCGCGCUGGACCACUACUGACGCUGAGGAACGAAAGCGUGGGGAGCAAACAGG
rnacentral:rRNA from 1 species